AAGGCCUUAGUUUAAGUAAAAUGUCUGGUUUGCAUCCAGGUGAUGCGGGUUAGUGUCCCGUAGGUUUUA
rnacentral:tRNA from 1 species